CCGAGUUUACAACUCCCAAACCCCUGUGAACAUACCUAUCGUUGCUUCGGCGGAUCCGCCCCGGCGCCCUCGGGCCCGGAUCAGGCGCCCGCCGGAGACCCCAAACUCUUGUAUUUCUUUAGUAUCUUCAGAGUAAACAAGCAAAUAAAUUA
rnacentral:misc_RNA from 1 species